CUUAAUCUUUUUGAAAUUAAUCUUUAAAAUCAAAAUGCAAUAGCCUAUUUUUUGGUGUAUGAAAUUAUUACUCAUCCUGUUUAGGGUGAGUCCAUUAUGCCAUUUAAAGUCUAAUUGGAAUUAAGCACUUUCAGAUUCUUAUGUGCAAUGUAUUCACAUGUGUAAAUUUAAAAAAUAAAAUUCUAUUAAAAUA